rnacentral:rRNA from 1 species
AUUGAACGCUGGCGGCAUGCCUUACACAUGCAAGUCGAACGGCAGCACGGGUGCUUGCACCUGGUGGCGAGUGGCGAACGGGUGAGUAAUACAUCGGAACAUGUCCUGUAGUGGGGGAUAGCCCGGCGAAAGCCGGAUUAAUACCGCAUACGAUCCACGGAUGAAAGCGGGGGACGUUCGGGCCUCGCGCUAUAGGGUUGGCCGAUGGCUGAUUAGCUAGUUGGUGGGGUAAAGGCCUACCAAGGCGACGAUCAGUAGCUGGUCUGAGAGGACGACCAGCCACACUGGGACUGAGACACGGCCCAGACUCCUACGGGAGGCAGCAGUGGGGAAUUUUGGACAAUGGGCGAAAGCCUGAUCCAGCAAUGCCGCGUGUGUGAAGAAGGCCUUCGGGUUGUAAAGCACUUUUGUCCGGAAAGAAAUCCUUGACUCUAAUACAGUCGGGGGAUGACGGUACCGGAAGAAUAAGCACCGGCUAACUACGUG